GACUAAGCGUACACGGUGGAUGCCCUGGCAGUCAGAGGCGAUGAAGGACGUGCUAAUCUGCGAAAAGCGUCGGUAAGGUGAUAUGAACCGUUAUAGCCGGCGAUGUCCGAAUGGGGAAACCCAGUGUGAUUCGUCACACUAUCGUUAACUGAAUACAUAGGUUAACGAGGCGAACCGGGGGAACUGAAACAUCUAAGUACCCCGAGGAAAAGAAAUCAACCGAGAUUCCCCCAGUAGCGGCGAGCGAACGGGGAGCAGCCCAG
rnacentral:rRNA from 2 species